rnacentral:rRNA from 1 species
UACGUAGGUGGCAAGCGUUAUCCGGAAUUAUUGGGCGUAAAGCGCGCGCAGGUGGUUUCUUAAGUCUGAUGUGAAAGCCCACGGCUCAACCGUGGAGGGUCAUUGGAAACUGGGAGACUUGAGUGCAGAAGAGGAAAGUGGAAUUCCAUGUGUAGCGGUGAAAUGCGUAGAGAUAUGGAGGGACACCAGUGGCGAAGGCGACUUUCUGGUCAGUAACUGACACUGAGGCGCGAAAGCGUGGGGAGCAAACAGG